UACGGGGGGGGCAAGCGUUGUUCGGAAUUACUGGGCGUAAAGGGCUCGUAGGCGGCCAACUAAGUCGGACGUGAAAUCCCCAGGCUCAACCUGGGAACUGCGUCCGAUACUGGAUGGCUUGAAUUCGGGAGAGGGAUGCAGAAUUCCAGGUGUAGCGGUGAAAUGCGCAGAUAUCAGGGGGAACACCGGUGGCGAAGGCGGGUCUCUGGGCCGAUACUGACGCUGAGGAGCGAAAGCGUGGGGAGCAAACAGG
rnacentral:rRNA from 1 species